UUUAUUUUUUAUUUCCCUUUUUUCUUGUUCUUUCCUCUACGUUUUUUUUUCGAUCUUUUCCUCGUCUUUCCUUCUUCUCGUCUCGCCCCUCCAAACCAUCGCCACGCCAUUUGACCCCCACUGGUCGAAAGCCCCUAAAGUGACGCUCCUUGUCCCUUCACUCAUGUUUCUCGGUUUAGAUUUCCUCAAACCCAAACCAAAACCUUUGAAAAAUCAAAAAAAAAAAAAAGAAAUAAAAAUAAACUUGAUCCACCGUCGUCUGUCCCCAUAUCAGUCUCGUUUUCCAGUAUGAAGUUCUUCACCAUCCAAUGAAGCUUUUCACCGUUGGGAUCGUCAAAAUGGACAUCUCAAACCCCUUGGACCGGUCAAAUCCAAACGGGUUGUGUUCUCACCUUUACUUUUUUUGUUUUUAUUUAGUAUAUAACUCUUCAUUUUGUUCUUGAUGUUUCAGCCACAACCCUCUGCUUCUUGUUUGUCAUUCUUCAUUCUUUUCCCCUUAUCUUUUGCUUUGAGUUUGUCCUCCAUUGCCUUAAUAAAUCCGACUUCUUGAUUUAUAUUGUUAGGGCUUGAUUUCGUGCUGUGAAACUAUGCCAUUGUGGAAGGUCACGAAGUUCAAGAUGAAGAUUUGAAGAACUAGCCAUGGCCUUUUCAAGUUCAUUUUCAGAUAUUAUUGUAUUUGUGUUGAAAAUUGUUAUAUUUGCCGUUCUUCAUUAAUCUGUAACAAAUUUAUCUUAAAAAAAAACUAGUUUCUAUUAGUUUGAUUAUUCAUUUAUUUGUUGAUUCAUUUGUAAUAUUUUAUUGGGAUUUAAGAUUUUAGUUGCAAUAAUUAAUGAAAAAGAACUAAUUAGUUUGUAUAAUGUUAAAAAAAUAAUUAACAGAAAAGAAGAAAAUAAAUUAUGGA
rnacentral:lncRNA from 1 species